UCAAUGGCUAUUGGAUUGGUCCAUGAAGCGAAAAAUAGUUUACUGUGUCACUCGUACCGAUAACCGCAUCAGGUCUUCUAGGUAAGUAGCCUAUGGCCAUUGAGGCAUGAUAGUUCAGGGAAUUCGGCCAAUUAGAGCUGUAACUUCGGGAUAAAGCUUGGCUCUGAUGAAAAUCAGAACCGAUUGUUACGCGGAGAGCCCAACUGUUUAAUAAAAACGUAGUGUCGCGCUGUGGUAGUAUAGCCAGUGAACGCGACAUGAAUCCUGCUCAGUGCUGUGUCUGUUAAUAUGGUUCAAGCCAACGAAGCACCGGUAAAUAGCUGGGGUAACUAUGACUCUUAUCAAAGUAGCGAAAUACCUCGUCACUUAAUUAGUGACCUGCAUGAACGGAGCUAUGAGGUUCUCACUGUCCCAAACUGUCUCUCAGCGAACCAACUGUAGUGGGAACGGUCACUAGAUAUCCAGCGGGGAAAGAAGACCCUGUAGAGCUUCACUUUGGUCUAGUCUUGUAUAGUUCCUGCGGGGGUGUAGACUAGGUGGGAGAGCAAUCGAUUCUGAAAAACCACUACCCUGUUUGGAAUUAUGCUUACCUAUCACAAGGAAUAGGACUAGAUAGAAAGUUUGGCUGGGGCGGCACACCUUCGAAAGAGCAGCGAAGGUGUCCUAAGUUGAGCUCAGUGAGGACAGAAAUCUCACGUUGAGGAUAAGGCCAAAAGCUCAAUUUACUGUGCCUUUUUGUACUAGGAUCAGUUACGAAAGUAAGGCCUAACGAUCCCUAAAUAGCCUCAGGUGCGUGAGGAUAGGGGUGACAGACAAGUUACCUCCGGGACAACUGGCUUGUGGCUGCUAAGAGAUCAA
rnacentral:ncRNA from 1 species